GACGAACGCUGGCGGCGUGCUUAACACAUGCAAGUCGAACGAAGAGCGAUGGAAGCUUGCUUCUAUCAAUCUUAGUGGCGAACGGGUGAGUAACGCGUAAUCAACCUGCCCUUCAGAGGGGGACAACAGUUGGAAACGACUGCUAAUACCGCAUACGAUCUAAUCUCGGCAUCGAGGAUAGAUGAAAGGUGGCCUCUACAUGUAAGCUAUCACUGCAGGAGGGGAUUGCGUCUGAUUAGCUAGUUGGAGGGGUAACGGCCCACCAAGGCGAUGAUCAGUAGCCGGUCGGAGAGGAUGAACGGCCACAGUGGGACUGAGACACGGCCCAGACGCCUACGGGAGGCAGCAGGGGGGAAUCUUCCGCAAUGGACGAAAGACUGACGGAGCAACGCCGCGUGAGUGAGGACGGCCUUCGGGUUGUAAAGCUCGGUUAAUCGGGACGAAAGGCCUUCUUGCGAAUAGUGAGAAGGAUUGACGGUACCGGAAUAGAAAGCCACGGCUAACUACGUG
rnacentral:rRNA from 1 species